CAUGCGGCAGGCUAUACAUGCAAGUCGAGCGGACAGAUGGGAGCUUGCUCCCUGAUGUUAGCGGCGGACGGGUGAGUAACACGUGGGUAACCUGCCUGUAAGACUGGGAUAACUCCGGGAAACCGGGGCUAAUACCGGAUGCUUGUUUGAACCGCAUGGUUCAAACAUAAAAGGUGGCUUCGGCUACCACUUACAGAUGGACCCGCGGCGCAUUAGCUAGUUGGUGAGGUAAUGGCUCACCAAGGCAACGAUGCGUAGCCGACCUGAGAGGGUGAUCGGCCACACUGGGACUGAGACACGGCCCAGACUCCUACGGGAGGCAGCAGUAGGGAAUCUUCCGCAAUGGACGAAAGUCUGACGGAGCAACGCCGCGUGAGUGAUGAAGGUUUUCGGAUCGUAAAGCUCUGUUGUUAGGGAAGAACAAGUGCCGUUCAAAUAGGGCGGCACCUUGACGGUACCUAACCAGAAAGCCACGGCUAACUACGUGCCAGCAGCCGCGGUAAUACGUAGGUGGCAAGCGUUGUCCGGAAUUAUUGGGCGUAAAGGGCUCGCAGGCGGUUUCUUAAGUCUGAUGUGAAAGCCCCCGGCUCAACCGGGGAGGGUCAUUGG
rnacentral:rRNA from 1 species